CGGAAGGAGUACGUAAUGCUAUAGCUAUUUCCUUCUUGCUAACCAUUUAGCAAAUUUGCAGUUCCUUGCCAGCCAGCCUGGUUUUUAUUUUUGGCGCCUAAUCCCAGCAGAAUUCUGUUAUUAUCAGUGGCCGUUAAAAUACGGAUUGCCCGUUUUCUUCGUCAGCUUAAAGAGGUUUCAGCUAAGACCAUCUCCAACGGCAUACCCAUAUUUAAGAAGAAUAUCAAAAAACUGUCAAUAUGGGUAUUUUUUCUCGAAAAGCUGCUCCAGCAGCAUACCAAUAUUUAUUAGAUACCCAAAAAAAUUAAAAAUUACCCAUAUUUUGCCCCCCAAUACCCCAAAUAUGGGUAUACCCAAACGACCCAUAAUGGACGCGCGAAGCCAACCGUCUGAAAUUUCCCCAUAAUGGACGCGCGAAGCCAACCGUCUGAAAUUUCCCCAUAUCCCCUCCCGUGACACCUCUGCUCCUCGCCUUCCGCCGGAAAUUGCGCCGCCGCCGGCGUGCUGCAGCCCAGCCGGCGACCUCCCUGCCGCGCUGGACCACUCUGCAGCCCGGUCGUCGCUUUUGCCGGCCACUCUGCCCCCCUACAGCCGCUCCCACCUCGUCCGCCGCCCCGAAGCCCCAGGCACAGCGGCCGCUAUGGUGAUGCGGCCAUCGGCCGGCGCCCCGCGGCCCUCGUCUGCGCCUGUGACGGGCCUCCUCCGACCUCGCCGCUACCCUUCCACAGCCGGCCGCGCCGUCCCGCCACCCGUCUUCAUCCACCAGGCCAAGCGUCUCCACCGCCUGCGCCGUCCGCCGUGCGCCCUGUCGCGCCAUCCAGCGAGCCUGCGACGCCCUCCGGCCUUCCUCCCGUGGCCUCUUGACCCCCGUCGGUCUUCCUCGCUGUUGCUGCCCCGCACCUGUCGCCGCCCUUUUCACCAUCAAGAUCCGCCGCGGUCGCGCCCACUCCUUGCCGCCGCCACCCAGCCCGCUCCGCUUCUGGAACCGACUAGCACCGCCUAGUCCAAGCUAGCGCCGCCCAGCCCCUGCGCGCCCCCGUUCGAUGCCCAGUGCCGCCAUGCCGAUUCCUUGCCCCCGCUGUUCUUCGUGUGGAUGGAUGUUGAAGAAGAUUCUCCUAUACGGGUCCGGUACAAAUUGAUGCAUAUGGGUAUUCAUUUUUAGGUACGAUGCAAAAGCUGGACGGAUUUUGAGUACCAUGUUUUCUCUUUUCUCUAUCACGAUGGUUUUGGAUAAUCAAAAUGCCGUUGGAGAUGCUUGGUAGUUGGUUGGUGCAAUUCUAUGGGCCGAAAAAGAGAUGAGAGUGAGAGGACAGGAAGUACUGUUCCAAAGCAUGUGAACGGUGGUGAACUGGAUUGAAUUGAUGGUUUGUGCGUACGUGGAAAAAGAUUGGUAUGAUGUGUGAACGUGGUGGCGACGAGUUCUCCGGCGUUUUCCUUUGGCUAUGCGAUGGGGUUCGGCGUGCCUGGCGAUGUUUCCUUUGGUUUUAUUGACUUGUCCAAGAGCCCCUGGUGUUCAUUCUUCAUACGCUGGCCUGUCAGCACGGUUGAGAAUGGAUGGAUGGUGGCGAUGUACCGGCAAAAAAGCAAAAAACAAACAAACAUGUUUUCUUAACAGUGAGCAGUGCUAUCAUCUAUCCUGUGCUCCAACAACCUUUAUAAAGAAACCAGUCCGUUCAGGAGGCGGGAAGCAUUUGAAAUGUGUGGCUAUGUCAGAGCUAAGGGCUCCUCUGAUUCAAAAGAAUUUCAUAGCAAAAUUUGGAGGGUUUUAUUUCUAAGGAAUUUUUCCUUUGUAGCUCGUUUGAUUUGCAGGAUUUGAACUCAAAAGGAUCUAGUUUGUAUGUAAUUUCAAAGGAAAAUUUCUAAGAGGUCUAACCUUAUGAAUUUUUUUU